UACGAUGCCAGGUGUUUGACUUUGAACUGAGCGACGAUGAAAUGAAGACCAUUUUAAGCUACAACAGGAACUA